rnacentral:lncRNA from 1 species
UGUAACAUUCAUUUUGGAAUGUAUCAGUAAGAGAAAAACCAAAAAGAAAGCUAAGAGAGAAAAAAGAGUAGCUCGUGGAAGGAAGGAGAAGAAGAAACAUGGAGAAAGUAAGAGUUCGGAAACAUCAUCAUCUUCAUCACUUCAUCUCAUCAUCUUCAUCUUCAUCAAUUUCCUCUUCUAUUGCUAAUGUGGUUUCUAGGUAUAAUCUAUAGUUUUAAAAUUUAGGGUUAUGAUAGAAUCAUGAGAUAGUCGGUAAGAAUUAUGAAGGAUCUUCUAUCUUGAUUAUAAGUUUCCAUGGAUAAGUGUUUCUUUUCUAUUCUUCAUGAUUUUCAUUCCAUAGGUUUGAAUGUUGUUGUAGUAAUCAUGUUUAUGUACACCAUGAAUUGAG